rnacentral:rRNA from 1 species
AUUGAACGCUGGCGGCAGGCCUAACACAUGCAAGUCGAGCGAGCGGCGGACGGGUGAGUAAUGUAUGGGGAUCUGCCCGAUAGAGGGGGAUAACUACUGGAAACGGUGGCUAAUACCGCAUACUAUCGGAUGAACCCAUCUGGGAUUAGCUAGUAGGUGGGGUAAAGGCUCACCUAGGCGACGAGCUCUAGCUGGUCUGAGAGGAUGAUCAGCCACACUGUGACUGUUACACGGUCCAGAUGCCUACGGGAGGCAGCAGUGGGGAAUAUUGCACAAUGGGCGCAAGCCUGAUGCAGCCAUGCCGCGUGUGUGAAGAAGGCCUUCGGGUUGUAAAGCACUUUCAGCGAGGAGGCGUUACUCGCAGAAGAAGCACCGGCUAACUCCGUGCCAGCAGCCGCGGUAAUUC